rnacentral:tRNA from 1 species
AGAAGUUUAGGAUAAUCAAGACCAAGAGCCUUCAAAGCUCUAAGUAAGUGAGAUCACUUAACUUCUG